rnacentral:rRNA from 1 species
AGAACGAACGCUGGCGGCAGGCCUAAUACAUGCAAGUCGAACGCACCGCAAGGUGAGUGGCAGACGGGUGAGUAACGCGUGGGAACCUUCCCAGUGGUACGGAAUAACUCCGGGAAACCGGUGCUAAUACCGUAUACGCCCGUUUGGGGGAAAGAUUUAUCGCCAAGAGAUCGGCCCGCGUCUGAUUAGCUUAGUUGGUGGGGUAAUGGCCCACCAAGGCUACGAUCAGUAGCUGGUCUGAGAGGAUGAUCAGCCACACUGGGACUGAGACACGGCCCAGACUCCGUACGGGA